UGCAGUCGAACGCGUUGGCCCAAUUGAUUGAUGGUGCUUGCACCUGAUUGAUUUUGGUCGCCAACGAGUGGCGGACGGGUGAGUAACACGUAGGUAACCUGCCCAGAAGCGGGGGGCAACAUUUGGAAACAGAUGCUAAUACCGCAUAACAACGUUGUUCGCAUGAACAACGCUUAAAAGAUGGCUUCUCGCUAUCACUUCUGGAUGGACCUGCGGUGCAUUAGCUUGUUGGUGGGGUAAUGGCCUACCAAGGCGAUGAUGCAUAGCCGAGUUGAGAGACUGAUCGGCCACAAUGGGACUGAGACACGGCCCAUACUCCUACGGGAGGCAGCAGUAGGGAAUCUUCCACAAUGGGCGCAAGCCUGAUGGAGCAACACCGCGUGAGUGAAGAAGGGUUUCGGCUCGUAAAGCUCUGUUGUUAAAGAAGAACACGUAUGAGAGUAACUGUUCAUACGUUGACGGUAUUUAACCAGAAAGUCACGGCUAACUACGUGCCAGCAGCCGCGGUAAUACGUAGGUGGCAAGCGUUAUCCGGAUUUAUUGGGCGUAAAGAGAGUGCAGGCGGUUUUCUAAGUCUGAUGUGAAAGCCUUCGGCUUAACCGGAGAAGUGCAUCGGAAACUGGAUAACUUGAGUGCAGAAGAGGGUAGUGGAACUCCAUGUGUAGCGGUGGAAUGCGUAGAUAUAUGGAAGAACACCAGUGGCGAAGGCGGCUACCUGGUCUGCAACUGACGCUGAGACUCGAAAGCAUGGGUAGCGAACAGGAUUAGAUACCCUGGUAGUCCAUGCCGUAAACGAUGAGUGCUAGGUGUUGGAGGGUUUCCGCCCUUCAGUGCCGGAGCUAACGCAUUAAGCACUCCGCCUGGGGAGUACGACCGCAAGGUUG
rnacentral:rRNA from 1 species